GACAGAGGGUGCGAACGUUGUUCAGAAUUACUGGGCGUAAAGCGCGUGUAGGCUGUUCGGCAAGUCGGGUGUGAAAGCCCUGGGCUCAACCUAGGAAGUGCACUCGAAACUCCCGAACUGGAGUCCCGGAGAGGAAGGUGGAAUUCUCGGUGUAGAGGUGAAAUUCGUAGAUAUCGAGAGGAACAUCGGUGGCGAAGGCGGCCUUCUGGACGGUGACUGACGCUGAGACGCGAAAGCGUGGGGAGCAAACAGG
rnacentral:rRNA from 1 species